rnacentral:sRNA from 1 species
AUCUAGUUUAGUAUGUGAAACAUAUAGUGUAAAUGCAGUUAAAUAUUUUUACACUACUUUCAAGCAUUUAAUUGUGUAGAAUUUGUAAUUGUUGUUAAAUUGUUCUGACAGUGAGUUACGCAGUAAGAUCUGCACUGUUGUAAAGGUGACCAUUGAGGCCCACGGGCCUGGUUUAUAUUUUAUUUACCUGUAUUUUUCAAAUAUCUACAGCUUUAUUACCAGCCCUUUAUUACCAGCCUUUUACAUCCAUUUUCAACUUAAAUUUAGUGUUUGUAAGUUUUAUAUUUUGUUUUUGAAUUACAUUUGCAUUUUUAAAUUUUUUGUGCAGAAUUAAAACCAUUUGUUUUAUGGUACAUGUACUGGUAGUUAUUAUCCGCUUAUAAAAUUAUAUGUAAACAAUUGAGAUUGCAGAUUCUGAAAUCCAAAUCAAUCAACUUUGUCUAUUUGCUUGAGUACACAGAUUUAUUAUAUGUAAGUGUGGUGCUGUUAUUGUAUGCUGUACAUUGAUUUGUUAAGAAUACUCAACAUUUCCAUUGUUUUUUUCCCUUAUGCUAAAACUUGGUAAUAAAUUUAAUUACUGAAUG